GAAGUUCCAAUCUCCCUCAAAGGCUUCCAAUAUUCCAGGCUAAUCAUAAGAUUUAUCUAAGAAUUUUGGGAGCCUUUGAAGGGGAUUGAAGGCUU
rnacentral:pre_miRNA from 1 species